UACGGGGGGGGCAAGCGUUGUUCGGAAUUACUGGGCGUAAAGGGCUCGUAGGCGGCCAACUAAGUCAGACGUGAAAUCCCCAGGCUCAACCUGGGAACUGCGUCUGAUACUGGCAGGCUUGAAUCCGGGAGAGGGAUGUGGAAUUCCAGGUGUAGCGGUGAAAUGCGUAGAUAUCUGGAGGAACACCGGUGGCGAAGGCGGCAUCCUGGACCGGUAUUGACGCUGAGGCGCGAAAGCCAGGGGAGCAAACGGG
rnacentral:rRNA from 1 species